AAUCAACGCUGGCGGCGUGCCUCAGACAUGCAAGUCGAACGAUUAAAAGCUCUCUUCGGAGAGUGUAUAGAGUGGCGCACGGGUGAGUAACACGUAAGUAAUCUACCUUUGAGUGGGGAAUAACCCGGGGAAACCCGAGCUAAUACCGCAUAAAUGCAGCGGCAUCGCAAGAUGACAGUUGUUAAAGGAGCAAUCCGCUUAAAGAGGAGCUUGCGGCAGAUUAGCUAGUUGGUAAGGUAAUGGCUUACCAAGGCUACGAUCUGUAUCCGGUCUAAGAGGACGGUCGGACACACUGACACUGAAUAACGGGUCAGACUCCUACGGGAGGCAGCAGU
rnacentral:rRNA from 1 species